AUUGAACGCUGGCGGCAUGCUUUACACAUGCAAGUCGAACGGAUCUAGGGGCUUGCUCCUAGGUUAGUGGCGAACGGGUGAGUAAUGCAUCGGAACGUACCGUGUAGUGGGGGAUAACCUGGCGAAAGUCAGAUUAAUACCGCAUACGAUCUACGGAUGAAAGCGGGGGACCUUCGGGCCUCGCGCUAUACGAGCGGCCGAUGUCGGAUUAGCUAGUUGGUGAGGUAAAGGCUCACCAAGGCGACGAUCCGUAGCGGGUCUGAGAGGAUGAUCCGCCACACUGGGACUGAGACACGGCCCAGACUCCUACGGGAGGCAGCAGUGGGAAUUUUGGACAAUGGACGCAAGUCUGAUCCAGCCAUGCCGCGUGAGUGAAGAAGGCCUUCGGGUUGUAAAGCUCUUCUGUCAGGGAGCAAAUCCUGCCUGCUAAUACUAGGUGGGGAUGAGAGUACCUGAAGAAUAAGCACCGGCUAACUACGUGCCAGCCGCCGCCGCGGUAA
rnacentral:rRNA from 1 species